UAAUACGAAGGUGGCAAGCGUUGUUCGGAUUUACUGGGCGUACAGGGAGCGUAGGUGGUUCGGUAAGCCCUCCGUGAAAACUUCAGGCUUAACCUGGAAAGUGCAGAGGGGACUGCCGGGCUAGAGGACGGGAGAGGAGCGCGGAAUUCCCGGUGUAGCGGUGAAAUGCGUAGAGAUCGGGAGGAAGGCCGGUGGCGAAGGCGGCGCUCUGGAACGUUCCUGACACUGAGGCUCGAAAGCGUGGGGAGCAAACAGGAUUAGAUACCCUGGUAGUCCACGCCCUAAACGAUGGAUACUAAGUGUCGGCGGGUUACCGCCGGUGCCGCAGCUAACGCAGUAAGUAUCCCGCCUGGGGAGUACGGCCGCAAGGUUGAAACUUAAAUGAAUUGACGG
rnacentral:rRNA from 1 species